GGAGGAGUGGCUCGAGCGGCCUAAGGCGGCGGUCUUGAAAACCGUUGUCCACGCAAGUGGACCGCAGGUUCGAAUCCUGCCUCCUCCG
rfam:Omnitrophica WOR_2 bacterium RIFCSPLOWO2_12_FTLL_63_16 rifcsplowo2_12_scaffold_413, whole genome shotgun sequence.